rnacentral:rRNA from 1 species
UACGGGAGGCAGCAGUGGGGAAUCUUGCGCAAUGCGCGAAAGCGUGACGCAGCAAAGCCGGGUGAGGGAAGAAGGCCUUCGGGUUGUAAACCUUUUUCAGUUGGGACGAAGCCUCGACGGUUAAUACCCGUUUGGGGGGACGGUACCUUCAGAAGAAGCCCGGGCUAACUACGUGCCAGCAGCCGCGGUAAUAAGUAGGGGGCAAGCGUUGUCCGGAAUCAUUGGGCGUAAAGAAAGGGUAGGUGGCUUGGUAAGUCCGCUCUGAAAGCCCGGGGCUCAACCCCGGGAGGCGGGUGGAUACUGUCAAGCUUGAGUCCGGAAGAGGGAAGUGGAAUUCCCGGUGUAGGGGUGAAAUGAGCAGAUAUAGGGAGGAACACCAAUGGCGAAGGCAGCUCGCUGGGACGUGACAGACAGUGAGACGGGAAAGCGAGGGGAGCGAACAGGAUUAAAUACCCUGGUAGUCCACCCCCUAAACGAUGGGCACUAGGUGUGGGAGGUGUCGACUCCUCCCGUGCCGAAGCUAACGC